CAAAUGACUCUCGGCAAUGGAUAUCUCGGCUCUUGCAUCGAUGAAGAACGUAGUGAAAUGCGAUACUUGGUGUGAAUUGCAGAAUCUCGUGAACCAUUGAGUCUUUGAACGCAAGUUGUGCCCGAGGCCUUAUGGUCGAGGGCACGCCUGCUUGGGCGUCAUG
rnacentral:rRNA from 1 species